rnacentral:piRNA from 1 species
UCCUGCCAACGCCUCGGGAUACCUUACU